AGAAAUCCAAAUGUAGCACGUAAACUAAAGAAAUAAUAACAAUAUGUUAUACGAAAAGCGGUCAUCACAAUCAGAAUAGAAUAGCAAAACCAAUGCUAACGAUUUCAACAUUUAGACUUUGUUUCGAGAGAGGAAAACGCAAACAGCUACACAAUCACAAACGAAAAUGUUUACAAUAUUACAUCAAUAUCCAAUGACGUCCAUAAUAAAAUCGUGUUGAAUGUACGAAUUGCUUAGAUCCGAUUCAAAGGCAACAAGAACAACAAGCAGCAGUACACACACCAAAUUAAUUACAUAAUUACAACAACAUUUCGGCAACAAAAUCCAAGACUCAUCGUGAGUGUAAACGCACAACAAAAUAUCAGAUAUACAAACACAACACAAGGAAAUUUAAGAUUUGUACCGUUACCAACUAAGUUGAUGUUGUUGCUUAUGCUGGAGUCGUGAAUGGUGAAGUUGAGUUCGUGGGGGAUGGGUACGCAUGGUGGACGAAAGUGUGUUUGUUAUGGUAGUUAUGGUUGUGUUGUCAAUUUGUUUGGCUGCUUUCGAAAUAGUAUGGUGAGAUGAGGGAAAUGUUGGCUUGCGUUUUGGAUCAGAGUUGAAGGUGAACAGUAGCGUGUUUUUGCUUGCGUGUUGAGGGUCAUAAGAGAUUAAGUUUGAUGGAGGGAAUAGUUCUUGUGAUGUGGAGGUCGAAGUAGGUUGUUUUGCUAGCGUAGUUUGGAGCAAGGUUGUGAGUAGUGAGUGUUGAGUUAUGUCACAUUCCAGGAGGUCAUUUUCGUGAAGAAUAUGUGGUGUUAUGAAGUGUAGAAAGGGUUUUAAUGGAGAGGGAGUAUAAAAUGGAGGGUGGAGGUUAUUGUUGAAUUGUAAUUCCGUGUGUCAAAAUAGGUUGCUCGACAGAAAUAAAGAGGUGUCGAAUCACCUAUGUAUCGAAAUGUAUAGUAUCUCGAAGUGUAUAUCGACAAAGUUGUUAUACUUAGCUAUAUUUGUGUUUUAGCAAAGUUAGUUAGUUUGUUAAGAGAUUUCUUGGAUUGCAAGAAAUCUAAUUCUAUAAAUACUGAGGUAUCAUACUAUUGAUUCUAACAAUUUUAAAGUGAAUAAUUGCAGUAUGCAAAGUUUGAGAACAAAGAGAAAUACUGUAGAAAUUUAUUCUUCUUCUUUCUUACUCGAAAAUCCUAAUCUUUCUUUCCUCCCCAAUUCAAUUUCUUUCUUCUUCCAUUUAAAUUAUGCAGCGAAAUCUUGCAAUCGAUGUUGGUUGUUUCACUCAAGUGAAGAGUGAAUAACAAGAAGGAAUUUGAUCGGUGUGAUUGAAUCUUGUUCAUCAAGAUUGCAACAGAAUUUUCCAUAAAUUUUAGUGAAUUUCUUAAAGGGAAAUUGACGAAUUUCCAACUGAUCGAAUGAAACUGCAAGGCUUGUGGUGGUGGUAUGCAUUUUAUUGAUGAUGUAGUGGAUGGUUGGCACUUUGCUGUAGGUGUUGGUCGUGUGAUGCUUCUAUAAAGAAGCUCACAUCAUUUGUGUUUUCUAUCCUUUCAUUGUGAGAUGGAAGUAUGUAAAGAGAAAGAGAAAAAGGAGUUUAUGUCUCAGCAUGAGGCUGAGUCCUCUUCUUCUUAUUUCUUUGUUUUCCCUUUUUAAAUCUCAUUGGUAGAAAGUGG
rnacentral:lncRNA from 1 species